UGAUCCUUCCGCGUAACACUUGCCGAAGCCUUAGCAGCCCGAAAGGGUGCCCCCCGCCGACUCUAAACAGAGAGGGGGCUCAAAUGCUAGUCCGCCCCGGUUCUCCGGGCGGGCGACACUAUCAAAUUGCGGGAACACCCUAAAGAUCUCAACACCAAGCGUCGCUGGAAACAGCGGCGUGGCCGAGCUAAUAGCCCUGGGUAUGGUAACAGCUUGAGAUAUGAUUUCCCUCGCGGGGAUGAAAUGGGCAAUCCGCAGCCAAGUCCUAAAGCGCCCCCGGGCGCCAUGGAUGCUGUUCACAGGCCAAAUGGUAGUGGGUGGUCGCUCCGGCGACUGCUUAAGAUAUGGUCGGGCCCCCUUGGAAACUUGGGGGGUAAGCUUACGCUGCUCAAAAAAACCGUUCCGUAGGUGAACCUGCGGAAGGAUCAUUAC
rnacentral:misc_RNA from 1 species